rnacentral:rRNA from 1 species
CGUGCUUAACACAUGCAAGUCGAACGGUGAACGAGGGAGCUUGCUCCCUCCGGAUCAGUGGCAGACGGGUGAGUAACACGUGGGAACGUGCCUUUAGGUUCGGAAUAACUCAGGGAAACUUGUGCUAAUACCGAAUGUGCCCUUCGGGGGAAAGAUUUAUCGCCUUUAGAGCGGCCCGCGUCUGAUUAGCUAGUUGGUGAGGUAAAGGCUCACCAAGGCGACGAUCAGUAGCUGGUCUGAGAGGAUGAUCAGCCACAUUGGGACUGAGACACGGCCCAAACUCCUACGGGAGGCAGCAGCGGGGAAUCUUGCGCAAUGGGCGAAAGCCUGACGCAGCCAUGCCGCGUGAAUGAUGAAGGUCUUAGGAUUGUAAAAUUCUUUCACCGGGGACGAUAAUGACGGUACCCGGAGAAGAAGCCCCGGCUAACUUCGUGCCAGCCGCCGCCGUAAAAC